GAUGAACGCUAGCUACAGGCUUAACACAUGCAAGUCGAGGGGCAGCACAAGGCAGCAAUGCUGAGGUGGCGACCGGCGCACGGGUGCGUAACGCGUAUCCAACCUUCCCGUUACUCAUGGAUAGCCUUCCGAAAGGGAGAUUAAUACAUGAUGGUGUUGAAAUUCCGCAUGUUAUUUCAACUAAAGAUUUAUCGGUAACGGAUGGGGAUGCGUGACAUUAGAUAGAUGGCGGGUAACGGCCCACCAUGUCUACGAUGUCUAGGGGUUCUGAGAGGAAGGUCCCCCACACUGGAACUGAGACACGGUCCAGACUCCUACGGGAGGCAGCAGUGAGGAAUAUUGGUCAAUGGCCGGAAGGCUGAACCAGCCAAGUAGCGUGAAGGAAGACUGCCCUAUGGGUUGUAAACUUCUUUGUUCGGGAAUAAAGUGCAGUACGCGUACUGUACUCAGUG
rnacentral:rRNA from 1 species